rnacentral:rRNA from 1 species
UACGGAGGGAGCUAGCGUUGUUCGGAAUUACUGGGCGUAAAGCGCACGUAGGCGGCUUUGUAAGUUAGAGGUGAAAGCCUGGUGCUCAACACCAGAACUGCCUUUAAGACUGCAUCGCUUGAAUCCAGGAGAGGUGAGUGGAAUUCCGAGUGUAGAGGUGAAAUUCGUAGAUAUUCGCAAGAACACCAGUGGCGAAGGCGGCUCACUGGCCCGGUACUGACGCUGAGGCACGAAAGCGUGGGGAGCAAACAGG